GACGGAGGGUGCAAGCGUUGCUCGGAAUCACUGGGCGUAAAGGGUCCGCAGGCGGCGAGAUAAGUCGGAUGUGAAAGCCCGGGGCUCAACCCCGGAACUGCAUUCGAAACUGUCUCACUUGAAUACGGGAGAGGAGAGUGGAAUUCCUGGUGUAGAGGUGAAAUUCGUAGAUAUCAGGAGGAACACCAGUGGCGAAAGCGGCUCUCUGGCCCGAUAUUGACGCUCAUGGACGAAAGCGUGGGUAGCAAACAGG
rnacentral:rRNA from 1 species